CGAAGGAGUGGCGAACGGGUGAGUAAUACAUAAGCAACCUACCCACGAAGACUGGGAUAAUCUCUGGAAACGGGGACUAAUACCGGAUAGGUAAUCGGAAGGCAUCUUCUGGUUAUUAAAGGUUAAAAACACUGGUGGAUGGGCUUAUGGCGCAUUAGUUAGUUGGUGAGGUAACGGCCACCAAGACGAUGAUGCGUAGCCGGCCUGAGAGGGUGAACGGCCACAUUGGGACUGAGACACGGCCCAG
rnacentral:rRNA from 1 species